AUUGAACGCUGGCGGCAUGCUUUACACAUGCAAGUCGAACGGUAACAGGCCUUCGGGUGCUGACGAGUGGCGAACGGGUGAGUAAUGCAUCGGAACGUGCCCAGAGGUGGGGGAUAACGCAGCGAAAGCUGUGCUAAUACCGCAUGUGAUCUGAGGUUGAAAGCGGGGGACCAGGCAGCAAUGUUUGGCCUCGCGCCUUUGUAGCGGCGGAUGUCGGAUUAGGUAGUUGGUGGGGUAAAGGCCUACCAAGCCGACGAUCUGUAGCUGGUCUGAGAGGACGACAAGCGACACUGGGACUGAGACACGGCCCAGACUCCUACGGGAGGCAGCAGUGGGGAACUUUGGACAAUGGGCGCAAGCCUGAUCCAGCAACGCCGCGUGAGGGAAGAAGGCCUUCGGGUUGUAAACCGCUUUUGUACGGAACGAAAAGGCUCUGGCUAAUACCGGGGGAUGAUGACGGUACCGUAAGAAUAAGCACCGGCUAACUACGUG
rnacentral:rRNA from 1 species